rnacentral:snRNA from 1 species
GGAUGUGAGGGCGAUCUGGCUGCGACAUCUGUCACCCCAUUGAUCGCCAGGGUUGAUUCGGCUGAUCUGGCUGGCUAGGCGGGUGUCCCCUUCCUCCCUCACCGCUCCAUGUGCGUCCCUCCCGAAGCUGCGCGCUCGGUCGAAGAGGACGACCAUCCCCGAUAGAGGAGGACCGUUCUUCGGUCAAGGGUAUACGAGUAGCUGCGCUCCCCUGCUAGAACCUCCAAACAAGCUCUCAAGAAUGUCUGCCAUGGCAGAGGGAAUGUUGGUCUGAUCCAGCUUCAGUUUCUUUUCUGAGGCAAAACACU